rnacentral:rRNA from 1 species
GAUGAACGCUGGCGGCGUGCCUAAUACAUGCAAGUCGAACGAGUUCUUCGGAACUAGUGGCGGACGGGUGAGUAACACGUUGGUACCUGCCUCGAAGUGGGGAAUAACUGGCCGAAAGGUCGGCUAAUACCGCAUGUGACCGCAACGUUAAAGCAGUAAUGCGCUUCGAGAGGGGCCUGCGUCUGAUUAGCUAGUUGGUAGGGUAAAAGCCUACCAAGGCGACGAUCAGUAGCUGGAUCGAGAGGUUGACCAGCCACACUGGGACUGAGAUACGGCCCAGACUCCUACGGGAGGCAGCAGUAAGGAAUCUUCCACAAUGGACGAAAGUCUGAUGGAGCAACGCCGCGUGCAGGAUGACGGUCUUCGGAUUGUAAACUGCUUUUGUAUGGGAAGAUUAUGACGGUACCAUGCGAAUAAGGACCGGCUAACUACGUGCCAGCCGCCGCUGUAA